rnacentral:misc_RNA from 1 species
AAAAAUCUUGUACAAACUUCAAUCACAUAUUUGUGAUUUCAAUCAAUGAACCUUGAAUAAAAACUCAUUUGCCUCUUUCUAACUUACAAAUGCAUAAAGUAUGUCACAUUAGAAAGAAAAAUAUAACUUGAAUUUUCAAGAGAUACAACGCCCCUAGUAGAGAUGUUUAUCAGAUGUCAAGUUGGUAACAACUAAAAUCAAACUGGUACAUAAUUCAUAAAUAAAUG